CUCAAUACGUAUUUAUCGAGAAUCUAUUAUGUAAAAUGCAAUGUUCACAGCAUCUUCACCGGGAGAAGAUUCUAUCUUAAGGAAACUCUUUUCUCAUGCAUAAGAAGCACCUCCUUACCUGUUAAAAGUUUAAUCAUGAGAUUGCAGGAAUUCAGUCACAUCUUCAGGCUCCACUUCUAAUUCUAGUUCUCUUGGUAUUCCACCGCACCUGCAGUGACUUCCUCCACCGAAGUCUUGAACCUCUCAAAGUCAUCCAUGAGGGUUGGAAUCAACUUCUUCCAAAGUCCUGUUAAUGUUUGUAGUGUUAUGAAAUAUAUAUACAUAUAGGUUUUCAUACACAGGAAACAGAAUCUCUUUGACCUUCUCUUGCCUUCCUUUUACCUGCCUUCCUUUCACCUACCCCAAAGCAGGACUCUAAUCUUCUGCUUUUAUAAUUGUGGAUCAUAAGACUCAUUUCAGAGAGGGUCCCAACCCAUGGCCUGGGGGAAGGAAUGCUGAUAUAAUGAAGCUUCCAUAAAAAUCCAAGAGGACAGCUUCCUGAUAGCUGAACAAGUGGAGGUUUCUGGGGAAUGGCUACCUGGGGAGGGCAUGGGAGCUCCGUGUCCCUUCCUCCAUACCUCUCCCUGUGCAUCUCUUCAUCUGGAUCCUUCGUGAUAUCCUUUAUAAUAAACUGGUAAAUAUAA
rnacentral:lncRNA from 10 species